rnacentral:rRNA from 1 species
AACGAACGCUGGCGGCGUGCCUAACACAUGCAAGUCGAACGAGAAAAUUUCCUUCGGGGAAUGAGUAAAGUGGCGCAAGGGUGAGUAACACGUGAAUAAUCUGCCUUCGAGACUGGGAUAACUUGACGAAAGUUAAGCUAAUACCGGAUAAGACCACGCUUCACAAGGAGUGUGGCAAAAGGGGUCUCAAACCCUGCUUGAAGAUGAGUUCGCGUACCAUUAGCUUGUUGGUGAGAUAACAGCUCACCAAGGCGACGAUGGUUAGCCGGCCUGAGAGGGUGAUCGGCCACACUGGAACUGAGACACGGUCCAGACUCCUNACGGGAGGCAGCAGUGGGGAAUCUUGCGCAAUGGGCGAAAGCCUGACGCAGCAACGCCGCGUGAGCGAUGAAGGCCUUCGGGUCGUAAAGCUCUGUCAAGUGGGAAGAACACAAUGACGGUACCAUAAAGAAGCCCCGCUAACUU